AUGCCCACUACUUAUUGCAAUGAUCAUGACUGGGGUGAUAAUGCUUCUUACGAUCUUGAAAAUUUAUUUAAGCUUCAUGAUAAAUAUGUCAUUGAUAAUAAUGUUUGCAAUAGUAUUGAAAGUGGGUUUGGAAGAGUGUCAACUUUAGGUAAAAAGAAUCCCACAUAUUUGGAGAGUGUUCGAUCUUAUGAAUAUUUUGAUAAAAGUGGGUUUGGAGAGGUCAUGACUUUAUUUGAUGCUAAUUCCACUAUCUUGGAAGAUUGUAAAACUUUUAUGCAUGUGGAUCACAAAGAGAAUAUUUUAUAA
rnacentral:rRNA from 1 species